AGAGUUUGAUCCUGGCUCAGGACGAACGCUGGCGGCGUGCCUAAUACAUGCAAGUCGAACGAAGCUUUCUUUCACCGAAUGCUUGCAUUCACCGAAAGAAGCUUAGUGGCGAACGGGUGAGUAACACGUAGGCAACCUGCCCAAAAGAGGGGGAUAACACUUGGAAACAGGUGCUAAUACCGCAUAACCAUGAACACCGCAUGAUGUUCAUGUAAAAGACGGCUUUUGCUGUCACUUUUGGAUGGGCCUGCGGCGUAUUAACUUGUUGGUGGGGUAACGGCCUACCAAGGUGAUGAUACGUAGCCGAACUGAGAGGUUGAUCGGCCACAUUGGGACUGAGACACGGCCCAAACUCCUACGGGAGGCAGCAGUAGGGAAUCUUCCACAAUGGACGAAAGUCUGAUGGAGCAACGCCGCGUGAAUGAAGAAGGCCUUCGGGUCGUAAAAUUCUGUUGUCAGAGAAGAACGUGCGUGAGAGUAACUGUUCACGUAUUGACGGUAUCUGACCAGAAAGCCACGGCUAACUACGUGCCAGCAGCCGCGGUAAUACGUAGGUGGCAAGCGUUGUCCGGAUUUAUUGGGCGUAAAGGGAACGCAGGCGGUCUUUUAAGUCUGAUGUGAAAGCCUUCGGCUUAACCGAAGUAGUGCAUUGGAAACUGGAAGACUUGAGUGCAGAAGAGGAGAGUGGAACUCCAUGUGUAGCGGUG
rnacentral:rRNA from 1 species